AUCACGAUUCGCUGCAGAUAAUAAGGUAAGAAUUUUUUUCGCACCCCUAUGUAUUCCCGCAUAAUCGAAAACCGUAAAGCAAAUGGGCAAUAUUAUACUGGGAUUAUAACGUUAAUCGUUCCUGUUCGUAGCUUCACUUUAUCAUGUGUCCUUACUUUAAUGUAUUAGAAGAAAUUAUACAAAAUCAUUUCUAAAAGAUUCCAUUAAUGGUUGAAGAAAAAAAUUAGAUGGUGUCCAUAGCAGUGCGUCUCAGCUACAGAAGACGUACGUGUCUUCGCUGAAUGAGAAAUGGCUUCUGUAAACAAAAAGCCGUUCCUCCGGUUCCUCCACGGAAGACCCGAAUUCCUCGACUUGUAUUGGAAGUGGCUGCAUGGCUUCAAUGGCACGGAAUGCUCUGCUGGAAAUACCACCUUUUGGCAGUUGAAUUAGUAGGUAAGCUGUGAAUAUUUAUAUUAUUAUUGUGAUUAUUGUUUGAUUCUGUUUAAGGUUAGAAAAAAUGUUGCGAUAAUGGAAGAGGACCGAAAAAAACACUGUUACCUAACGGAAGGCACGAAUCCCACACCAGAAACCCUACCGGAGCAUAAGAAAACAGCGCUCCCGGAUUAUCUUUGUUACAAAAAAUCGUCAGAAUCCGAUGUCGCUGGAACAGGCAGACAUGCAGAAGGCCCAAGCCAAUCUGAAGCCAUGAAGAAGAGCUGUAUUUUCACAUCCGUUCGGCAUGUCCGGCUCGAAUGCCAAGCGGUUAUCUCGAUAUGGGGGGGUUCUGCUCGCCACCUAUCAGCACCCGAUCCGGUUUCAUCAAAUCCUCGCAGUUCCCUCAACGAAAAAUUUCGGAUUCGAUAAGAUGUCAUAUUUCACACCCGGUUUGUGGUUAGCUUUUAGAAUGUGCAUAUUUCUUUCGGACGCCUGGACCGUGACCGUACUUUUCUCGAAUACGAUUUUGCUGUUCUGAGACAUUUCGGCAAUCAUUCGGGCACAGUGCUCGGUGAAUUUGAGAUCAGCCACCUGGCCUCGUCCGUUGCCGUAGGUUUUUGUCAGGGUAUUGACCGAAAUGAAAAUGAGCUCCGCUUCCUGAAUGGCCGUUUCGAUGUAGGUCGAAAAGAACAGGUUCUAUUGCGGAACUUUGCUCGAUAUGUAUAUAUGCAAAAAGGCUGGAUUCCCCCGGUGAAUAUUAGAUUCCAUUUCAUCUACGACCACAGUACCGGAGAAACAAGAGUAAAAACAAAGGCGGAAACAGCAGAUCUUGAAUGCUGCUCAGUGUUCAGGUAAAGACAAAAAGGCCGGCGUUUCCGCCAUCAAAAAGAGCGACGAGGGAAGAUUCCAGUGAUCGUAUUUUGCCGGAUGUCUAGUGACAACUAAAACAUCAGUAAUUAUACCCAUACGUAUGCUAAACACAUCCUGAGGA